AGUAUUCACCUGGUUGAGUACCAGAAUAGAGAGGAAGACUGCUGGAGGCAGAUGAAGAUGGAGGAGACUGACCGUGCAUUUCGUAAAGGAGAUUUUGUCAUCCGAAUGCUAGAGAGUUCCAUAAUUUUGUACCACUUAUGCUUCUUGACACUCGGAAAGGAUGUGGCCAGUGCGGAGGCUUGACCUCAUCUCCUGUACUUGGCUUCGCUCUGACACGCUGUUCUCCCACACUCUUGCCCUGUUUUCUCCGUCAUCAGCUGGCCACUCACCAGGGGCCAAGCCAAGAGGAGGCAACCGCAGGUGCCCUUGUAGCCGCCUCCAGUGUUGGCAACCGAAGCCUGCCCCUGCCAGGUCCCAUGCCCGGUGGGGCUGCGAGGGUCACCCGAACAUAACAAUUCAUUUACAGAUCAUAUAAAUACAUGAAAGAGCCGGGUCAUUUAUGGGGUUCCCAGUUGGCAAUGACCCCACUGCACUCCAGCCAAAUGAGGCCGAGGAAGGUGAGCUGAUGAUCCAAGUACACUAUCCGUCUCUAGCAUUGGUGCAAUCACAGUAACACAGUUGCGCCUACUUGUUUUUGUCUUUUUUUUUUUUUUUUUUAAGUAGAUCUAAUUCCUUAGCCGUGUCCCUGAUGC